rnacentral:rRNA from 1 species
GAUCAUGGCUCAGAGUGAACGCUGGCGGCAGGCCUAAUACAUGCAAGUCGAACGGCAGCACAGCAGAGCUUGCUCUGUGGGUGGCGAGUGGCGGACGGGUGAGGAAUACAUGGGAAUCUGCCCAGUCGUGGGGGAUAACGUAGGGAAACUUACGCUAAUACCGCAUGCGCCCUUCGGGGGAAAGCCGGGGACCUUCGGGCCUGGCGCGAUUGGAUGAGCCCAUGUCGGAUUAGCUAGUUGGCGGGGUAAUGGCUCACCAAGGCGACGAUCCGUAGCUGGGUCUGAGAGGAUGAUCAGCCACACUGGAACUGAGACACGGUCCAGACUCCUACGGGAGGCAGCAGUAGGGAAUAUUGGACAAUGGGCGCAAGCCUGAUCCAGCCAUGCCGCGUGAGUGAAGAAGGCCCUCGGGUUGUAAAGCUCUUUUGUCCGGAAAGAAAAGCGCCGGGUUAAUACCCUAGUGUCCUGACGGUACCGGAAGAAUAAGCACCGGCUAACUUCGUG